CUAGGACUUGUGCAGUAAUUUUACACUCUGCAAAACUAGCAGCUUGAACCUGAAGUGCCUUUCCUCCCUCCUGUGCCACUCCAAUGGGCCUCUGGCGCCAGGUUCCGCUGCAGGCCUGGAGUUCCCCAGCUGGUUCAACCAAAGUUGCUUCCCACUGCUAACACUACUGUGGGCUGAGACAGGCUUGCCUCUCUUACAGACUUGUUUUUGUCAUCUAUUAAAUGGGGAUUUGGAUCUGCCUGUGUACCUAGAAGAGCUACUGGCACUGGUCCUCUGGUUCCCAGCUGGUCAGUCACAAGUGUAUCUCCUGGUAAGACUGUUAAGACGACUCCAUUUGGUUUCCAGCUCGCUGCUGCCUGUAACUCCAGUUCAAGAGGAUCCCACAUAAUCUUCUGACCUCUAAGGGCACCGCACACACAUGGCGCACAUGCAUGUACAGAGGCAAACAUCAACACACAUAAAAAUAUAGAUACAAAAGUUUAAAAAUAAAGCAUUACUGUAGUAAUAAA